GAUGAACGCUGGCGAGAUGCCUUACACAUGCAAGUCAUACGAGAAUUUUUAAUUCAAGUGGCGGACGGGUGAGUAACACGUAAGAAUUUGCCUUUAGGAGGGGGACAACAACUGGAAACGGUUGCUAAUGCCCCAUAGUAUAGUUUUUUCGCAUGAAGAGAUUAUUAAAGUUCCAACGGUAAAAGAUGAGCAUGCGUCCCAUUAGCUAGAUGGUAAGGUAACGGCUUACCAUGGCGACGAUGGGUAGGGGUCCUGAGAGGGAGAUCCCCCACACUGGUACUGAGACACGGACCAGACUCCUACGGGAGGCAGCAGUGAGGAAUAUUGGUCAAUGGACGCAAGUCUGAACCAGCCAUGCCGCGUGCAGGAUGACGGUCCUAUGGAUUGUAAACUGCUUUUGUACGAGAAGAAACAUCCCGACGUGUCGGGACUUGACGGUAUCGUAAGAAUAAGGAUCGGCUAACUCCGUG
rnacentral:rRNA from 1 species